AUUGAACGCUGGCGGCAGGCCUAACACAUGCAAGUCGAGCGGUAGAGAGGAGCUUGCUCCUCUUGAGAGCGGCGGACGGGUGAGUAAUGCCUAGGAAUCUGCCUGGUAGUGGGGGAUAACGUUCGGAAACGGACGCUAAUACCGCAUACGUCCUACGGGAGAAAGCAGGGGACCUUCGGGCCUUGCGCUAUCAGAUGAGCCUAGGUCGGAUUAGCUAGUUGGUGAGGUAAUGGCUCACCAAGGCGACGAUCCGUAACUGGUCUGAGAGGAUGAUCAGUCACACUGGAACUGAGACACGGUCCAGACUCCUACGGGAGGCAGCAGUGGGGAAUAUUGGACAAUGGGCGAAAGCCUGAUCCAGCCAUGCCGCGUGUGUGAAGAAGGUCUUCGGAUUGUAAAGCACUUUAAGAUGGGAGGAAGGGCAGUAAAUUAAUACUUUGCUGUUUUGACGUUACCGACAGAAUAAGC
rnacentral:rRNA from 1 species